rnacentral:rRNA from 1 species
CACGUAGGAGGCAAGCGUUAUCCGGAUUUACUGGGCGUAAAGCGCGUGCAGGCGGUUUGGAAAGUUGGAUGUUAAAGCUCCCGGCUUAACUGGGAGAGGUCGUUCAAUACUUCUAGACUGGAGUAUGGGAGAGGGAGGUGGAAUUCCGGGUGUAGUGGUGAAAUGCGUAGAUAUCCGGAGGAACACCAGUGGCGAAAGCGGCCUCCUGGCCCAUUACUGACGCUCAGACGCGAAAGCUAGGGUAGCAAAC